UAAAAUACAAAUUCCGGACCUUUAUCCUAGUAUCUACUUCCGCUUUCUGCAUGAAGAAGAGGGGGAGGGGCGAGCCAAUCGUCACUACGUUCAUUUCCGAAGUAUUCCGAUCUUACCCGAUCCUCCUGCACUGGCUUUGGAGCUGCUGUUUGCGCUGCGUGUCCUUUAACAUCCAACACCGUCCUCUCUGACAGCGUCUACACCAUGGUGGACAUUUUGGUGUUGAUGUUUUUCGCCAUCAUGGGCCUUGUCUUUCUCUCCUACAUCAUCUACAUGCUAUGAUGAGGCGACGCGGUGCAGGAAGGAUGAGUGUUUUUCCUCAUCUGCAUCCCUGGUUUCCAUCAUGGACCAUGGUAGAAGAGAUGGCUUUCCAUUGGAGGUUUCCCGUGGGAUGUGAGGAGUGAUCCAGCUCAGAAGGAAAACAAAUGGAUAAGCAGAAGAAGCCAAACUUUCUGCCUGACUGUCUCCCUUUUGCACUGUCAUCACACUGUCAGCCUCCUCCUUUCUAGGAUUUCUCCAGUUUGGCCAAGACUCUCCACCCCAAUUACCUGUCUUUAACCAAUCUGUGGGUUUUGUACAAUCAUGCAUGUUUAUUUUCUUUGUAGAGGGGAAGACAUUGUCACUGCUGCACAAUUCCCUGUGAAUGCAGAAUGGUUGAGACGGUUUAAUACAGGUGUAGAGUUUGCCUUUUAAUAUCACUGUGAUGGUGUGUAGGAUGCAUGCAGGGUGUGCAGCCAACCUCUACUUAUGCUUUGUUUUGUUUGUUUUGUGUCACAGAGAGGCCCUGUGUGGUUCCCGCCCGUCCUCAGUAUUAAUAUCAAGGUUUUAAUAUCUUGCCAAUAUGUUAUGCUCAUCACAACAGUCAGGAUUUCCCCAAAGGUCAAAGGGGCAUGUGUCAAUACAACAUUUCUGCCACAACUCUCUGUUAAUGGUUAAAAUCAGUACCACAAUAUCCUCAACACUGGCAAAUACAAUACAGUAACGUCUAUUAUUUGUUGGAUUUUGUUUGUAACCGACAUGCAUAAAGCAAACAGUGUUAUAUUAUACCUCACCUGUUAUUAUUAUCAUUAUAGUAUUAUACCUCCUUGUUCUGUUGCAUAUAAAUAUAUUUAAGUUUACUGAUGCACAAAGGAUUUUGGGAGUUAAUUGCAGUAUUUCACAUAUUAUGACAAAUAAAGAAGAUUUCUGUACA